CUUCACAGGUUAGUCCGUGGCCUGAGUGAGGAAGGCAAUGUCCUUGCUAGUCACUAUUUGUGGCGACAUCUUCAAAUUGCGUGAAACCCGUCAUACAGCUUCAAGUACCACUUCAAUUGAGAAAUCUUUUGAAGGAACAGAGGUAACUCCUCUUCCCAACGGUAACAAGCUUGAAGACACGGUGGCAAUGCGCAGCCAAGCUCCUAAGUAUUUAAAUAUAAGGAGAAGGUUCAGAGAGCAGACGGAGAUGGGCGGUAAUUUAACCGCUUAAGGUGUGCUCCAGCCUCUUUCGAAAGAUUGAG
rnacentral:ncRNA from 1 species